rnacentral:rRNA from 1 species
UACGAAGGGGGCUAGCGUUGCUCGGAAUUACUGGGCGUAAAGGGCGCGUAGGCGGAUAGUUUAGUCAGAGGUGAAAGCCCAGGGCUCAACCUUGGAACUGCCUUUGAUACUGGCUAUCUUGAGUUCGGGAGAGGUGAGUGGAAUGCCGAGUGUAGAGGUGAAAUUCGUAGAUAUUCGGCGGAACACCAGUGGCGAAGGCGACUCACUGGCCCGAUACUGACGCUGAGGCGCGAAAGCGUGGGGAGCGAACAGG